rnacentral:lncRNA from 1 species
AUGUCAGUUUACUGGGUAGUGGCUGAGACCCAGGGCAAUGACGAUUCUGAAAGCCUCCAGGCCUGCCCAGGGCGCGCAGUGAGACCCCGUGCACACUCGGGAAGGUGGAUGGGAUCGUCCACGGGGACUCCCAACCUGGCCUUGCCGAAGGUCACAAAUUGCUUUAACCUGAAAACCCCCCGGCUGAGGUCCGCCUCCAGCCUCAGCCUGAAACCACGCACGCCUUCCUGCUACCCGAGAGUAACCGAGCGCACCAGGGCUAACGGCAUGCGGUCUGGGGACCCACGACCGUUGCGCCGACGCCGUCUCCACUCAACCCUUCCCUGGGCCCUGGAGGCUCCGGUGCCGCGCGCCGCCACGAAAUCCGGCGCCGCGCAAACUCCGCGUCAUCCUGCAGGCGGGCGCCGUUCUCGGCAUCUGUAAAGGUCUGCUAGGCUCAGCCUAGUGGCCUCGGGCUGUUCAGGGGGACAACCGCGAGACGACAAUGCGACGACGACCAAGCGCCAAGCACCUUUGGCCGCGCGCCGGGCCCUCCGUCCGCCCCGGCCCCCGCCCCGC